AACAAAAGAAAUACCAUCGUCAUUUGUAUUAUGAUUAUUGAAAUUAAGAUCAUGAAGUGUGUGCUUCAAAUGGUUUUUUACAAAGCAAAAUAAAUGAAUAAAUAAAAAAUCAAAAGGAUAUUAUCAUUCGGACAAACUUCUACAAUUUCAUAGUAAAGUUUCUCUUCCUCUGGUUCAAUAAUCUCUUCCUAAGUGUCGCUAUAGAUGAGGAGCUUCACUUCCAUUUUGGUUACAAUAGAUGCAUUGCUUCCCAACAACUGAAUAGUCAUCGGCCAUUUCCUGAUUUCUGUGAUCCAAAAAAAGAAAAUGGUUCAGCAAUGUUCUCAUGUUUAUUUAUACAAUGUCAUGUAUUUAUCCAGAAAAGAUAAAAAGAAGGGCAAUGACUAAAAAGAAAGCAGAGAUGACGAAAAACUUGUCCAAAAAUAUCCAAGUAGUAAAAGUUGGUGUUUUAUCUGCAGGUGGAAGCUUAACGCUUAUGGAAAUAACUACUUCUUGAUUGGUGGUGUUAUCUUCACUUGAUACUUGGCCAGUCAGAAGGCAAAGGGGAUUUUUAAUCCUCGAAGAUAACAUCUUAUCCUCUCCAUUGUUUUUAUUAGAAGCAUCAGUUCUAAACAUAGAUAAUGACAAAAGCUGAGAAAAAUCACUUCUUAACUUCUCUCUAUUCUUCUCAACUUUUUCCUUUGCAAUAGUAAAAUGGUUACCACUUUUACAUUCCAUCAUUACUUACAAACUUAUUUAUUAUACCAUUAAAAAUUACUUCUUUAUUGUUUCUAAGUAAAUCAGUAUUCAUUCACUUGACAGUAGGUAUGAAAACUACUAUAUUCUCAUGAGCAAUUUCUGGAUGGUACAUGGUUAGGUGAUGCAAACAAACCAAAAUAAUAACUACAUAAUACAAAGUACAUCAUAACAGUUAUCAACUCACUUCAAUCAAAAGAGCCCUUUCUGCUUCUCCAGUUCAUUUAUCCUUGAUGUUAAGAAUCCAAAAUCACCAGAAAAUUGCUCUCCCCGAAAAUUUUGUCAAUAUAAGGACAAGAAAAU
rnacentral:lncRNA from 1 species